UGCAUAUCAAAUAAGCGGAGGAAAAGAAACCAACAGGGAUUGCCUUAGUAACGGCGAGUGAACAGGCAAGAGCUCAGAUUUGAAAGCCUUUCGGGGCAUUGUAUUCUGAAGCCUUGAUUCUGAGAACCGGUACCUAAGUCUUCUGGAAAGGAGCGCCAAGGAGGGUGAUAGCCCCGUACGGUACUGACCUCAUUGUAGAAUCUUGGCGUGGAGUCGAGUUGUUUGGGAAUGCAGCUCAAAUGGGUGGUAUGCUCCAUCUAAAGCUAAAUAUCUGCGAGAGACCGAUAGCGAACAAGUACUGUGAAGGAAAGAUGAAAAGAACUUUGAAAAGAGAGUGAAAAAGUACGUGAAAUUGUUGAAAUGGAAGGAUAGGCCGCUAACCACGUAGAGCCGUGUCUGAGGGGAGGAUAAAAGCUGUAGAAUGUGGCUCUUCGGAGUGUUAUAGCUGCAGUGCAUACUCCCACUCGGGCGCGAGGACCUAAGGCUCUGCUAAAUGGUGGUCUAUCACCCGUCUUGAAAACACGGACCA
rnacentral:rRNA from 1 species